GCAGAGACAAAGUUUAAGCAUGGUUCAAGAUUUCUUUUAGAGCCUAUAUUUCUUUUUGAUAACUGUUAUACUCCGUGCUGUUAAGCGGAUUUGAGACCAGAGCCAUCAUGACUACACAAUUUGCAAGUUUUUCUUGGGCAGGUAUUGGCAACCUGUCACCAGCAACAAUCUCAGGUUAAUCGAUUGGAUAAACAGCAUCCCCUUCAAUUGGAGAAACGUCCGUUGUCAAUUGAGUUAUGGAUCUCUCUAACUCUUUCUUCAAAAUGUGUUGUGUACGCCCAUGUGAAUGUGGGUGUAUUCACGAGGGACACCCUUUUUACCCUAUCCCGUCUGGUGUCAUUUAACUCUUCAUCGGAUGGAUGGAGC